rnacentral:misc_RNA from 1 species
AAGUCGUAACAAGGUUUCCGUAGGUGAACCUGCGGAAGGAUCAUUAUAAAAUUUUCAUAUAUUAUUUAUUUAAUAUAUAAAAUUUAUAUACAAAAUGUAUUCAAAACCCACACACUUUAUAACCAAAAAAAAAAUUAUAUAUUUUAAAUAUAUAUAUAAAAAAACAACUUUCAACAACGGAUCUCUUGGCUCUC